AUGCUAAUUUGUGUAGUCGUGUCUCUUACCAUGAUUUUUCUUUCCCUUAUCAUUGCCUUAGUUGGGCUGUUUGGAAAUGCCACAGUUAUGGCUUCUGGGCUUCCUGAUGCACAGGAAUGUCUUCUCUGUCUACAUCCUCAACCUUGCUGGUGUUGACUUUGUUUUCAUGUGCUUUCAAAUUGUACAUUGUUUUUAUAUUAUCUUGGACAUCUACUUCAUCCCCACUGAAAUUCCUCCAUUUUCCACUGUGGUGUUAAACUUUGCUUAUCUUUGUGGUCUGAGCAUCCUCACUGUCAUUAGCACUGAAUGCUUCCUAUCUGUCAUGUGGCCUAUCUGGUACCACUGCCAAUGCCCAAGGCACACAUCAGUUGUCAUAUGUACCCUGCUUUGGGUCUUGUCCCUGGUGAUGAGCCUCCUGGAAGGAAAUGAAUGUGGCUUUCUAUAUUAUACCAGUGACACUGGUUUGUGUAAGACAUUUGAUUUAAUUACUACUGCAUGAUUAAUUGUUUUAUUUGUGGUUCUCUUGGGAUCCAGUCUGGCCUUGGUGAUUACUAUCUUCUGUGGCUUACACAAGAUUCCUGUGACCAGGUUCUAUGUGACCAUUGUGUUUACAGUGCUUGUCUUCCUGCUCUUUGGUCUGCCCUAUGGGAUCUACUGGUUCCUCUUAAUGUGAUUAAGAAAUUUUAUUAUAAUGUACCUUGUGGUUUUCGUCAAGUGACAGUAUUUCUGUCCUGUAUUAACAGUUGUGCCAACCCCAUCAUUUACUUCCUUGUUGGCUCCAUUAGGCAUCAUCGAUUUCAAAGGAAGACUCUCAAGCUUCUUCUACAGAGAGCGAUGCAAGACACUCCUGAGAAGGAAGAAUGUGGAGAGAUGGGUUCCUUGGGAAGAUCUAGGGAAAUAAAAACUGUCUGGAAGGGACUGAGAGCUGCUUUGAUCAGGCAUAAAUAGCUUUGAAAAACAGCUUUGUCCUUAACAGUUUGUAGAAAUUUCAUAACUUUGUUUAGUUGAUGACCCAAGGUUAACUCAGUUGGGAAAG